GACGGAGAGAAAAAUCAAAGCGCAGCAGUCUAUCAGGGAGAAGAUGAACACGGCGGCCUCCAUCUUCCACUUCCUACUUCUCAACCACUUCCGGUGACAGUGCGCGGGCUGUGCGCGUGUUUGCGCGGAGCGGCAGCGCGCAGAGCGCCAACCUUUGAACGGGAUUCUCCAGUCAUUCCCCGCAGCCGCCUUACUGCUGAGCAGCGUUAGCAGGGGGUGAGCAGAGGUCAAGGCCUGUCUAUCAGCCAGAACCCAUCAGACAUGCCUCCACAGCAACAGGCUGAGGACCAGAACGGAAGGGCAUGAAUGAUCAGCGUAAUCCUCUCCUGCGGCUGGUGUGAAUGUGUAGGCUUCUCUGGGAACGUGAAUCUUUCCGGAAAGCAGCUGCAGAUAUCUCUGUGACAUUGAUGGAUCAAUCUGAACACGAGCAGCUGGAACUCGAAUAACCAUAAAGUUACAGGUGAAACUCCUCAGAACAGGACUCAGUUCCGGUACGGUCCACUAUCAGACAUCAUUGGGUGAGCAGUGCUAAACUGGGCCAGGUGUGUGGUUAUGCGUGCUGCUCAUUAAAAUGUUUUAGACAUGCAACGCUUCUAAACAAGACAAAUUGUAAUAUUUCAGCUAUUUCUCAGACACCCAGACGCAUAGCCUGAAAUUGGCACCAUUCUGGUCAAACCAGGACAUCUGGUUACCCUAGUAAAAAUACUUGGUGUGAAAAUGCUGUACAGUAAAUAACAGUUUAAAAGGUUUUCCCGUUA